CCAAGGGUUGGGCUGUUCGCCCAUUAAAGCGGUACGCGAGCUGGGUUCAGAACGUCGUGAGACAGUUCGGUCCCUAUCUGUCGUGGGCGUAGGAGAUUUGAGGGGAGUCGUCCCUAGUACGAGAGGACCGGGAUGAACAGACCUCUGGUGUAUCAGUUGUCGUGCCAACGGCACCGCUGGAUAGCUACGUCUGGAUCUGAUAACCGCUGAAAGCAUCUAAGCGGGAAGCAGACCCCAAGAUGAGAUCUCCCACCAGGUUAACUGGGUAAGACCCCUGGAAGACUACCAGGUUGAUAGGCUGGAUGUGUAAGGGCAGCAAUGUCUUUAGCAGACCAGUACUAAUCGGUCGAGGUCUUGACUUUACACAUU
rnacentral:rRNA from 1 species